GGGUUAGCAGGUCGGUCGUGCCAAUGGUAUGCACUGGCUCGCUGACUCCUCCUUCUUGUAGAACCGUAAUGCCAUUAAUUUGGUGUUGCGGGGAAACAGGACUGUUACUUUGAAAAAAUUAGAGUGUUUAAAGCAAGCUAACGCUUGAAUACAUUAGCAUGGAAUAAUGAAAUAGGACGUUCGAUCCUAUUUUGUUGGUUUCUAGGAUUGACGUAAUGAUUAAUAGGGAUAGUUGGGGGCAUUAGUAUUCAAUUGUCAGAGGUGAAAUUCUUGGAUUUAUUGAAGACUAACUACUGCGAAAGCAUUUGCCAAGGAUGUUUUCAUUAAUCAAGAACGAAAGUUAGGGGAUCGAAGACGAUCAGAUACCGUCGUAGUCUUAACCAUAAACUAUGCCGACUAGGGAUCGGAUGAUGUUAAUUUUUUAAUGACUCAUUCGGCGCCUUACGGGAAACCAAAGUGUUUGGGUUCCGGGGGGAGUAUGGUCGCAAGGCUGAAACUUAAAGGAAUUGACGGAAGGGCACCACCAGGGGUGGAGCCUGCGGCUUAAUUUGACUCAACACGGGGAAACUCACCAGGUCCAGACAUAGUAAGGAUUGACAGAUUGAGAGC
rnacentral:rRNA from 1 species